UCAACUCGUUUUCCACUUGAUAAAGUAAUCCUCUAACUGUCACCUAAUGGAGCCUUUCCUUUCUUAAGCUUCGCGACCUCGUCUUUCGAAUCUACACGCGUAAUAAUGCUAACUUUAGUAUCCCUUUCAAUACUCAACAUUCACUUAGGACGUCUAAACUAACCUACCCCAUCGAUUCACGUAUCAUUUACUCGUAUAUAAACUUCAUACAAAUACACAUGACAUAAUCACAUAUAACUGUAACACGUAACACAUAAUCACAUUUGUCACAUAAUAUAUUAUAAGCAAGUAAGUUAAUAAAAUACAUAGGUGCGCCUCUAAAAAGUAUUAUUAUUAUUAUUAUAUAUAAAAAUUCUGGCAGCACCUCCUUUGUUUUAUCAACUUCCAGUCGGACUCAAGCCGACACCAACAACCAAACACAACAUUAUAAUCAAAUAAAAAUUUCUAUUACAAAGAAUAUACAUAUAUAUAUAUAUAUGCAUCAUUUAAAACCAACCAACAACUUUAUUGUCUCAUUUUUCACCAUUUACUAAUACCAAAAUUAUAAAUUAAAAUUUUGUAACUCAAACCCAAAAUCUUUUUAUUCCAAUAAAUCCGAAAGUUUAUUUACUUAAAUUUUCAUACUAAACACUUCUCCAAACUCAUUCAUAUAGCCCCUCAAAUAUAUUAAAUACUGAUUUCAAUAUUCUAGCCAAUGACGGCUCGCCACGUCAUCAUCUUCUUCAUCACAUCAACCAGAAUUUCUCUCUCCUCGAAGUCAACUGCCAUGACCAAACUUUGACCGCCUAUAACUCAUUCAUUUUUAAUCCGAUUAACAUGAUUCAAGAGCCUAUUCCAGCUAAUUUUUCACAAGGAAUUCAAAUAUGUCAUUUAUUUUAGAAUCAGAGUUCAUAUAAGCCCUGAACGAACUGAUUUACAGUAGCAGCCACUCCACUUUAUUCUGGAAAAAAAAAUAUAAACACAUAAUAACAUAAUAUACUCAUCAUAUGAACACAAAACACUUAAUCAAAUACCAACAACACAUAACCAAACUGAUUAAACCCUUUUCGAAACAUCAACAAAACUUUUACAAAAUCCAACAUGUAACUCGGAUUACAUAUUUAGACGAGAUAAUAUGAAUACUUUUGGACUCAAAGUAGCAUCAUCGCCCCCGCCGGCUCACCGGAGCUCAUCACCGGCGGCGGCAAAACCCGGAGGUGCCCGAAUCGGGUCUCCAAUCACGGGUUCCACCAAUUAAUAAUCGUUUAAGCCAAAGCCCCAUGCUAAUUUCAUCAAAAACGAAGUAUAUUUUCAGAAAUCAAACCCGACCCGAAGUGGGUUCUUCAAAAAUCAGACCAUGCAUACAACUAUACACGCACACACGCACAUACCAGUGUUUAGGAGAAGGAGAAGAGUAAUAAUCGGACAUCAAUUCAACGAAUUAGCCGAAAAGUCAAGAAAGAGAAGAAGAGAGAUGAAGUACCGAGAGAGAAGAGAAAAGAAGAAUGGAGAAGAGUCGAGAGAUGGAGAGAAUUGGGGUGAGUCUGGU
rnacentral:lncRNA from 1 species